rnacentral:lncRNA from 1 species
CUUUGCAACCCCACAGAAGCUGCUGUAUGGAAACUUUAAUUGCAUUACUUCUGCUUCUGCAUAAUCCCAGAAGAACUAGCUUCAUUCAGACUGCUCCAACUCAGACACUGGAUAGUUUCAACAUGGCAUAGACUAUUACCUCGCUCUAAUUACAGGAUCACGUUACAUGUCCAACAACUGCUGCAAUUUAGUCUUGCCUGAUACACCCCAGCUCAAAAUUGCUCAUCCCACCUCUCACUCCCAUACUUUUCAGCAUCUUUUGAAUAAAAGCAGAGACAGCUUGCAACACUUCAGCACCUGACACACGCGCACCCCAAGCCCCAGGAAGGUAAAGUCAUUAUUUCCUUGCGGUAGCAAAGGAUCACUGCUAACAACCACCGCCGCACAAUACCACGAAUCUGCACGUCGCUCCUCCAGCCAGGUGUUGAUCUCGCACAGAGCCUCUCCGUGCAAGAAAGGAGUUUUCAGAGAAGCAAAAGCUGCAGGAUCAGGCCCUCGGAGUUUCACUACCUCAAAGGCAGGGGACGUUCCUUACAGCAGCGCACGUCUUGCCUUUGAGCUCCAAACCGCAUCCGCAGCCCCCGCUGCCAUGAAAGGGAAAGGUUUUCUCCCUGCAACCGCUCGCCCGCGCCUGAGCCGAAUGCUAACAGGUCUCUUACUUGCGUCUCGCCUCGCCACCGCCUCAUGCUCUACGGGGGAUAUUUUGUUCCCCAAGCGGACGAGCUGUCCGGCCAUCGCUCCACGAUGAUUCAGCAAGGGGGUGGCUCCCCGUCGGAAGGCACACCUACUGCGAACUGUCAUACCACGGGGCUGGGUGAAAAUGGGAGAAGUUGCUUUAUCUAUCAUGGCUGCACUUUCUGAAAUGCGUAGACCUGGCCUGGUAGGGUCGAGGGGGGCGAAGGGUGGGGUGUGUGUAUAGGGGGGGCGGGGAGGGGGGGUCCAUCAGCAGGCACAUGGAAAUAAUUCAUGGAAAUAUCUCGAGGCUUUUAACUAUGGCACAAGUAAAUGAGGCAAAAAAAAAAAAAAAAGCCAGACACUUUCGGAGCCAGCAUCAACUUCGCCAGGCUGUGUUCUUUGUUUCUAGGCAGACUCCAGUGCAGUGGCAAGAAUGAACAAAUGCGCAUGUCUUCAUAAGAGUCCAAAAAAAAAAAAAAAGGGGGGAAAAAAAAUCCCCCCUCCCCUCAGGCCCCUCUCUCAUCGCUGUAGCGGUGGGGGAGUCCUCCAGAUAGUUUGUGCUGCUUUUUCAGAAGUGAAAGUCCGCUUCCACCCUGCCCUGAGCAGGCAUUUCGCUACGCUACGAGGCAUUCGUGGGUGAGACAGCGCCUGGAACACUUUCGGCUGCAAAAAUUAGUUUUGCUGAGGGAUUUUUUUUUGUUGGUUUUUUCUUUACUUUUUUUUUUUUUUAAAGAACGAAGCGACACCCUAGCAAAACACCGCGACGCGCCAGCCCCCCCUCCGCAGCCUCUCCCGCGGCCGGCCGGCCAGCCCGCCGCCGGCAGACAAAGGAGCGAUGCGCCGCCAAGGAGCCGCGCCGGCACCCGCGGGCCAGCCCGCCGCCGCUCCCGGGACAAGCGCCAGCGGCCGCCGAGCCCCGGACGCGGGACGAGCCGCCGCCGCCACAGACAUG